rnacentral:snRNA from 1 species
GGAUGGGAGGGCAAUUUGGCUGCGACUCCUGUCACCCCAUUGAUCGCCAGGGUUGAUUCAGCUGAUCUGGCUGGCGAGCCGGGUGUCCCCUUCCUCCCUCACUGCUCCAUGUGAGUCCUUCCCAAAGCCACGCACACUACAUUGAAAAGGACGACCUUCUCCGCUAAGGGAGGACCAGUCUUUGGUCAAGGGUAUACGAGUAGCUGUGCUCCCCUGCUAGAACCUCCAAACAAGCUCUCAAGAAAGGGCCCUAGAACCUGACAUCUACUUAGGCUUUGUAAAACUAUGGAUCUUGGGCAAGUUGGCUGGUAUGACUAGUAUUUAGAUCUUUAGGGCAUAGUCUUGGAAUGUUCUAA